GUGGGGAAUCUUGCGCAAUGGGCGAAAGCCUGACGCAGCCAUGCCGCGUGGAUGAUGAAGGUCUUAGGAUUGUAAAAUCCUUUCACCGGUGAAGAUAAUGACUGUAGCCGGAGAAGAAGCCCCGGCUAACUUCGUGCCAGCAGCCGCGGUAAUACGAAGGGGGCUAGCGUUGCCCGGAUUUACUGGGCGUAAAGGGCGCGUAGGCGGACAUUUAAGUCAGGGGUGAAAUCCCGGGGCUCAACCUCGGAACUGCCUUUGAUACUGGGUGUCUUGAGUAUGUGAGAGGUGUGUGGAACUCCGAGUGUAGAGGUGAAAUUCGUAGAUAUUCGGAAGAACACCAGUGGCGAAGGCGACACACUGGCUCAUUACUGACGCUGAGGCGCGAAAGCGUGGGGAGCAAACAGGAUUAGAUACCCGAGUAGUCC
rnacentral:rRNA from 1 species